rnacentral:rRNA from 1 species
AAAAAAAGGAGGAAAAAGAAAGAAAGUGAUCUAAAAAUUCUAGCACUGAAGGGUUCUUUGAAUAACUUCUUUACAUCUUCAAGCAAUGUUGAUGUCAGUGAAGAAGAAGGGCAAGAAACUACUUCUGAGCAUGAAAAUCCAGAUGUUGAGGUGAAUGAAGAUGGUGCGCGCACAGGGGAGCAAAUAAAUUUUGAAGUUGAUGCUGACAGUAUAAUGGAGGAGGAAAAUUUGUAGCCUUCCUCUAAUGAUGAACAUGAAGAUUCCCUUUCAUUUAUUUUUGAUCCAAGAACAUGGGAAGUUCUUGACAAUAGCAAAAGGGAUAUUUUAAUUGAGAAGGGACCUAUUAGAGUACCGGAUCUGGAGUUCGAGAAGGACACCAUUGGUAGACACUUUUCAUAUGCUUUUUACUCCAGGAAAUUAAGUAAUGGUGAGUUUGUUGACAAAAAGUGGUUGGUUUACCACAAAGGUGCAAACAAAGUAUAUUUUUUUUGUUGCAAGUUGUUCAAAUCAAAACUGAGCAAGUCUAUGCUGGCAUCUGAUGGAUUGAAUGACUGGAAGCGUUUGAGUGCGCGUCUCAAAGAUCAUGAGAACAGUGUUGACCAUUUAACAAACAUGAAUACAUGGAAUGAAGUUAGGUUGAGACUAAGCAAAAAUCGGACAAUUGAUGAUGAUAUGCAAAGGGGGAUUGCAAAGGAGAAGGAGCGUUGGAGACAAGUUCUGGUAAGAAUAGUUUCAGCUGUGAAGUUUCUUGCAAAACAUACUUUGGCUUUUCAUGGAUCAAAUGAGAAGUUGUAUCAAGAUAAUAAUGGUAAUUUUUUGGGCAUGACUGAAAUGAUUGCUGAAUUUGAUCCUGUUAUGCAAGAACACAUCCGGCGUAUUCUAAAUAGUGAAAUCCAUCAUCACUAUCUUGGCCACAAAAUCCAGAACGAGUUGAUCUCAGUCCUUGCUGAUGCCGUGAGAAAUGUAAUUUUAAAGAUCAUCAAAGAUGCCAAGUAUUUUUCAGUUAUUCUGGAUUGUACCCCGGAUGUGAGCCAUGAAGAACAAAUGACUCUCAUUGUGCAUUGUGUCAAUAUGUCAAGCAACCUUCCGAGAGUGGAGGAGUUUUUCCUAGAGUUCCUAAAGGUCGAGGACACAUCGGGGUUGGGGCUUUUGAAGGUAUUGAUUGAUACAUUUAGUUCUUUUGAUUUGAAUGCUGCUGAUGUGAGAGGUCAAGGUUAUGACAAUGGUUUCAACAUGAAAGGACAAUACCAAGGUGUCCAGAGUCGCUUCCUUAAAGAAAACCCCAAAGCAUUGUACAUGCCAUGUGCAUGUCAUAGUUUGAAUCUCACUCUUUGUGAUAUGGCAAAAUCUUGCAAACAGGCUAUUACAUUCUUUGGUAUUAUACAACGGAUAUACGUGUUGUUUUCACGUUCUACUAAAAGGUGGAAGAUUUUACUUGACAAUCUUCCAAAAGGAACAAAACUAACUCUCAAGCCUUUGUCCAGUACUCGUUGGGAGAGUCAAAUAAAGAGUGUGCAGCCUAUCAGGUACCAAACUAGCCAUGUAAUUUCAGCUUUGAAGGAAUUGGAGGAGACUUCUACUGAUGACCCAGCAGCUGUAAGUGAUGCUCAAUCUUUGGUCAGUGCACUUGAGAAUGUCCAAAUGUCUCUGUUGCCUAUCGGAUCGUCUUAA